GUCCCCGUAGCUCAAUUGGAUAGAGCGUUGGCCUCCGGAGCCAAAGGUUGCGCGUUCGAGUCGCGCCGGGGAUA
rnacentral:tRNA from 1 species